rnacentral:rRNA from 1 species
UACGGAGGGAGCUAGCGUUGUUCGGAAUUACUGGGCGUAAAGGGCGCGUAGGCGGCCUGUUAAGUCGAACGUGAAAUCCCCGGGCUCAACCCGGGAACUGCGUCCGAUACUGGCAGGCUUGAAUCCGGGAGAGGGAUGCGGAAUUCCAGGUGUAGCGGUGAAAUGCGUAGAUAUCUGGAGGAACACCGGUGGCGAAGGCGGCAUCCUGGACCGGCAUUGACGCUGAGGCGCGAAAGCCAGGGGAGCAAAGCGGG